AGGAGCAGGCAGUGGGGAGGCCAGGCAAGGCCCUCAGAGCCCGAAGCCAUGCUCAUGUGCACAAAUGGGAUGGCAAAUCCUCCUCAGCAGUUCUUUGUUCCCUCAGGCAGUGAGGAAUGAUUCCCUUGGAUGUGGGAAGUUUCUGGAUCAAUUCGAAAGAAGCUUCACCUGGUUCUGUCAGGAGAGAUUUUCUGUCUGAGUCCACGGCACCCAAGGAGACUCACAGGACAGGCAGCUCCACACUCCAGGAGGCCCUGGCAAUGGUCGGCAGGCGUGGCUACCGUGAACCGGAAGUGGUGUCAGAGCGGCAGUGGGCUCUGGAGUUUCUCCUGGCCGAUCCUGCCUCCCCCGCUUCCCUCCUCCAGGGCGCUUCCCCUAAUGAACGUCCUGCGGCCCAAUGUCCCUCUCAGCCUC
rnacentral:lncRNA from 1 species